GGGGGCGUACCGGUUUCGACGGGGACGCUGAAGUGGAGAUAGCGAGCAGCGGCGCCUAACCGCUCAACAAUGGGCAAUUAUAAAUUAAAGAACAACGAUAAUUACGUUGCCGUCGCUGCUUAAUUAAGCAGUUGACCUCCGCCCGUUUGUGCGCGGACGCCGAUCCCGGAGGGACCACGGACCGGGCUGGGUGAUGCCUUAAGUGGUAAACGUGCGUGCCGUAAGCUUUGCCGGUGCCAUGAAUGAUGAAGCUACUGAACUUGUGAGUGUGUCGGUUCACGCGCAGGUGAGGGAAUGUAAAAAAUCGACUGCGCUCGGAGAAGUCUCCAGGGAUACGUUUUCGGACACGGGUUCAACUCCCGUCGCCUCCACCA
rnacentral:tmRNA from 1 species